UUUUUAAAUAUCUGGGUUAUCUUCUUUUUAACUCAUUAGUGGAUGAAAUGCUUUUGGUUAAAAAAAGGACUGCUUGUAUUUUUAGCAUUAUAAGCAUUUAUUACAUGGGGGAAAUUUGUUUUCUCCACAUAAAUCAGAAAGAUCAAGUGCCCCAAUUUUUUUCCUUGUUAUUACGUGAUAUAUUGUAAUAUACAAAUAUAUGACAUGUAUAUGGCACAAUUAUGUGAUAUAUGUAUUUUUUUCUUCCUUGGUUCCUGCCUCAUAACUCUGACUUACCUACUCUGAUAUUAGGUCAAAAGACCCCUUUCAUUCCAGAGGGUCUUGGCCCUAUGCCCUGGGGAGAGGAAUGCUGCUCAGAGAAGCCCAGAAGAAUCUGAACAUACAGGCCCUGCUGGAUCCCCCAGCCCUGCAGCCUAUUGGCAGUUACAUCUGUGCAAUGAGGUCUCCAUAGAACUCAAAUCCGGAGACCUACCAGGCAGCUGAACGUGAGGAGGUUCCUGGACAAAACUGCUUUUGGAGAGGGCAAGGAAGCUCUGUGUGCCUUCUCCCAUAUCAUCCCCUUUGCUCUAUCACAUACUCCUGUUGUGAAGUUCUGCCAUGUCAGAGGUCCAAAAGCAACAAAGCCACCAACCAUGGACCAAACCUUCUGAAACCAUGACCCAAGAUAAAGCUUUCCUCUUUAUACGUUAUCUCAGGUGUUUUGUUAUAAUACUGGGAUCGAACUCAUGACGGCCUGCUUGCAAGGCAGGCGCUUAUGCCGCUGAGCUAAAUCCCCAGCCCCCCUCAGCAUCUCUUCAUCACCACCUUCUGCUGAAGAUGGACGAUUCCUCUACUCCCAGGGCAGGGACUUCUUGGCAAUGGCUUAAAAUAGCCACAGAUGAGGGAGGUGGUG